AUGGUAAACAAACGUUUCGGGUACAACCCUUUUUCAAUGCACCAUAUCUAUGGUGCAUUGAAAAAGGGUUGUACUUGAAACCUUUGUUUAUCAU